UUGGAGGGCAAGUCUGGUGCCAGCAGCCGCGGUAAUUCCAGCUCCAAUAGCGUAUAUUAAAGUUGUUGCAGUUAAAAAGCUCGUAGUUGAAUUUCGGGGUUCUACCGUUGGUCGGGCUUUGUCUGUACUGGUGUGUAGAAUUUCUACCUUCUGGGGAACCAUCAUGCUAUUAAUUUAGCGUGGUGGGAAACCAGGACCUUUACCUUGAAAAAAUUAGUGUGUUCAAAGCAGGCUUAUGUCUGAAUACAUUAGCGUGGAAUAAUAGAAUAGGACGGUGGUCCUGUUUUGUUGGUUUCUGAAUCACCGUAAUGAUUAAUAGGGAUAGUUGGGGGCAUUAGUAUUCAAUUGUCAGAGGUGAAAUUCUUGGAUUUAUUGAAGACUAACUACUGCGAAAGCAUCUGCCAAGGAUGUUUUCAUUAAUCAAGAACGAAAGUUAGGGGAUCGAAGACGAUCAGAUACCGUCGUAGUCUUAACCAUAAACUAUGCCGACUAGGAAUCGGGCGACGUUAUUUUCACGACUCGUUCGGCGCCUUACGGGAAAC
rnacentral:rRNA from 1 species